rnacentral:rRNA from 1 species
GACGAACGCUGGCGGCGUGCUUAACACAUGCAAGUCGAACGGUGAAGCGCCUUCCUUUUUGGUGGGUGUGGAUGAGUGGCGAACGGGUGAGUAACACGUGAGUAACCUGCCCCCUUCUUCUGGAUAACCGCAUGAAAGUGUGGCUAAUACGGGAUAUUCUGGGUCUGUCGCAUGAUGGGUCUGGGAAAGAUCUUGUUUCGGUGGGGGAUGGGCUCGCGGCCUAUCAGCUUGUUGGUGGGGUGAUGGCCUACCAAGGCGGUGGCGGGUAGCCGGCCUGAGAGGGUGGACGGUCACACUGGGACUGAGACACGGCCCAGACUCCUACGGGAGGCAGCAGUGGGGAAUAUUGCACAAUGGGCGCAAGCCCGAUGCAGCGACGCCGCGUGAGGGAUGGAGGCCUUCGGGUUGUGAACCUCUUUCGCCAGUGAAGCAGGCCUGCCUCGUUUGUGGGUGGGUUGACGGUAGCUGGAUAAGAAGCGCCGGCUAACUACGUG